rnacentral:rRNA from 1 species
UACAGAGGGUGCGAGCGUUGUCCGGAAUCACUGGGCGUAAAGGGUGUGUAGGCGGGUAUUUAAGUCAGUGGUGAAAUCUCCAGGCUCAACCUGGAAACUGCCAUUGAUACUAUUUAUCUUGAAUCUUGUUGAGGUGGGCGGAAUAUAUCAUGUAGCGGUGAAAUGCUUAGAUAUGAUAUAGAACAACCGAUUGCGAAGGCAGCUCACUAAACAAGCAUUGACGCUGAGGCACGAAAGCGUGGGGAUCAAACAGG